rnacentral:tRNA from 1 species
GGGGGAGUGGCGCAGUGGUACGCGCCUGGUUAUCUCUUGCUUGCUAUGCAUAAGAUCGUGGGUUCGAAUCCCGCCUCCCUCU